AUCUUAGCAGAGAUGCUCACAUGCGGGGUAACUGUCCAUGGUGUGUGGAGGGGUCCUCGGAACCCCCUCUUAGGAUCAUCUCCACAUACUCUCCCAGUUCUGAGAUUCGUUACCAACAGCAGGUUUCCUUCGCACUGCCGUGUCAGAGCAGCGCGGGAACUCUCCGCUCCGCUGCGAGGGGCUUUCUCCUCCUAGGGAACACCCUGCUAAGUAAUGGACAGAGAACAAAGGGGCUCCUCAUUCAAGGCAGGCCUAAGGGAGGGUCAGAAAGAACUUUAGCUGGAGGUAUUUACCGAUGUGACCUCCAAUCCUUGGGGAUUCUGGGAAAAUGGACAAAGUGCCAAAAGAAGAGAACCUAGAGAAUUACAGACAGUGAACUUGCCCCUAAGCCCUCAUUGAGGGGUGUGUUUGAGCAUUUAGGAGAGGACUCCAGUGCUCCUCAACGACAAACACAGCUGCCUUUGUGGUGUCUGAAGGCCCUGGUCAUGGUAACACUAGAUGGCUGCCCUGGGCGCCUCCUGUGGGUGUAGAGGCAUCACCACUCUGCACUGGCAGACUCAGCAUGGAGUCGGAGCAGAGUCUGACACGAGCACUUGCCAUCCCAGGCAUUUCAGUUCUGACUGAGAAGGGAGCCGCACAGGGGAGGAGAGGGCCCUUUGGAGCUCCACUCUGCCUCCACCACUCCCUAACCCCUCAGCCUCAGUGCCCUCAUCUGUAAAAUGGGGAGUUUUGCCUACAGAGUUCAGCACAGUGCCAGCCUGACAUGGGAACCCCAGUGGAUUAUCAGUUUUGUCAUCAUUCCCCUGCAUCCUGGAGGUGACACCGCCUGGUUAAUAGGCAUCCCCUCCGGAUGGCCCAGCACAGCUGCAGAGCAGCAGGAGGCUGGCCUGUGGCCAAGAAUGCACGGUGGAGGAGGGCUGGAGGGGGACUGCAGCUCCUCCUCUUCCUGCUUCCUCCCUGCUCCACCCCCUGCCUCGGGCAGCACAAAAGCAAAUCUCUGGCUAACUCCCUGCCUAGCAAGGCCCAGCCUGGGGCAGAAAUGGCUGCAAGUGGCCGAGGUCUCUGCAGGGCUGUGGCUGCCUCUCCCUUCCCAGCUUGGAGACGAGCUCACACAGAAGCCGGGGGAGGUCUGAAGCCUGAGUAUGAUGCGGUGGUGAUAGGAGCAGGACACAACGGACUGGUGGCUGUGAGUACCUCCCCAGUUGAUCCCACUUCACUGGCCCCUGGGCAUGUGGCUCUCAGCAGCCUGGGAAGGAGAGUGAAGAAGCAGGCAGCGUACCUGCAGAGACUGGGGGUGAACACCGCGGUCUUCGAGAGGCGCCAUGUGAUCGGGGGUGCAGCUGUCACUGAGGAGAUCGUCCCAGGGUUUAAGUUCUCCCGCGCGUCCUACCUGCUCAGCCUCCUGAGGCCGCAGAUUUACAAUGAUCUGGAGCUGAAGAAACAUGGGCUGAGGCUUCAUCUUCGAAACCCCUACUCCUUCACCCCCAUGCUGGAAGAGGGUGCAGGCAGCAAGGUGCCCAGGUCCCUUCUGCUGGGCACAGACAUGGCAGAAAACCAGAAGCAGAUUGCCCAGUUCUCCCGGAAGGAUGCCCAGGUCUUUCCCAGAUACGAGGAGUUCAUGCAUCGCUUGGCAUUAGCCAUUGACCCUCUGCUGGAUGCGGCCCCUGUGGACAUGGCGGCCUUCCAGCGUGGCUCUCUGCUGCAAAGGAUCAAGUCGCUGUCCACCCUCAAGCCCCUGCUGAAGGCAGGCCGCAUCCUAGGAGCCCAGCUUCCCCAAUAUUAUGAGGUCCUCACAGCUCCCAUUACCAAGGUGCUGGAUCAGUGGUUUGAGUCUGAGCCUCUAAAAGCCACUCUGGCCACAGAUGCUGUGAUUGGAGCCAUGGCAAGUCCCUGCACUCCAGGGAGUGGGUAUGUGCUGCUGCAUCAUGUGAUGGGGGGCCUGGAGGGGAUGCAGGGGGCCUGGGGCUACGUCCAGGGGGGCAUGGGUGCCCUCUCUGAUGCCAUCGCAAGCUCAGCCACCACCCAUGGAGCAAGCAUCUUCACUGAAAAGACAGUGGCGAAGGUGCAGGUGAACAGUGAAGGCUGUGUUCAAGGAGUUGUGCUAGAAGAUGGCACAGAAGUGAGAAGCAAGGUGGUGCUGUCCAACACAUCACCACAGAUCACCUUCCUGAAGCUGACACCACAGGAUGAAGAGGAUUUCCAGAGGGAGCAACUGAGGGAUCUUCCUGAGCAAAGAAAGAAGGCAGCUUCCUUGGGGCCUUGGACGUCUGGGGGCUUUCAUGGAGGCUUCUCCUUCCAGGAGUGGCUUCCUAAGGAGUUCCUGGAGAAAAUCUCUCAGCUGGACACCCGGUCGCCUGUCACCAAGAUCAAUGUGGCCAUAGACAGGCUGCCCAGCUUCCUAGCAGCCCCCAAUGGCCCCAGGGACCAGCCGCUGCCCCAUCACCAGUGCUCCAUCCACCUGAACUGUGAAGACACCCUCCUCCUUCAUCAGGCCUUUGAAGAUGCCGUGGACGGCCUGCCUUCCCACAGGCCUAUGAUUGAGCUCUGCAUCCCUUCUGCGCUGGACCCCACCCUGGCUCCCUCCGGCUGCCACGUAGUCUCUCUCUUCACUCAGUACACGCCCUACACACUGGCUGGAGGCAAGGCCUGGGACGAGCAGGAGAGAGACGCUUAUGCAGACAGAGUGUUUGAUUGCAUCGAGGUCUAUGCCCCUGGCUUCAAGGACUCUGUGGUUGGCAGAGACAUCCUCACACCACCAGAUUUGGAGAGAAUCUUCGGGCUUCCUGGAGGGAACCCAAGAAAAUAUCCCGGAAGGAGAAGAACUUUUGCUGGAGAACAGGGGAGGGGAAGAAACCCUGCCAGGACAGGAAAGGCUGUAACGCUCCCGUGCUAAUGGCUGUGGCCCUGCCUCUGCAGAACAUAUUCCACUGUGCCAUGUCCCUGGACCAGCUCUACUUUGCCCGUCCUGUGCCCCUGCAUUCUGGCUACCGCUGCCCUCUCCAGGGCCUGUAUCUCUGUGGAAGUGGGGCUCAUCCUGGAGGAGGUGUGAUGGGAGCUGCUGGGCGAAAUGCAGCACAUGCGGCCUUUAGGGACCUCAAGAGCAAGUGACCCCGAAUCAGCUCUGACCCAGGAAGAAGACUUCACCCCUCAAUUCCAAGCGCUCCAUUGGGUCAGCUUCCCGGGAAGCUCAGCUUCGCGUUAGUACUUAAUGCCACCAAGUCCUCAAUGCUCAAGCUAUUAUUUUAGAAAAAAUGUACGAGUUACAUUUAGUGCAAGUUAACCUUAUGCCCGUGCCUCCAUACACGGACUGGUUCUGUUUUAUUAAAACUAAUAUUUCAUACAGA